GGGGAUGUAUAUAUUCGACGGGAAGCGGUUGCUUUUAGUGCAAGCCGAUGUUGAUCACCAUCAUCGUAAAAAUAGUGAUCGAACCAAUAAAUGCCAACAAAAACUUGGCUCCUUCUUACGCAGUAGCGUAAGUAAGGCAUCCUGCAAACCUUUUUCUUAGCGAAGGCUGCGGGGUGUAACAACAGCUAAGAGGACUGAUCCAAAACCGGUCACUUUGGAGAAGGUCCUUAAACAAACGACCUUUCUUUAAGCUGAUCUUGCUAACCAGCAGGCUUAAGGGAGAAACAUGGUUAGAUAAGCUUGUAGUAUCUUGAAGUAAUUUCUUUUUCGGACCCGGGUGAAACCCCCGGCAUCUCCACCA
rnacentral:tmRNA from 1 species